CUCUCUCUCUCUCUCUAUCUCUCUCUCUCUAUCUGCAUUGCAGCCCCCCUCCUGUAAGUGCUAGGCUGCUGCUGCUGAAAAUUUAGCAACACAAAUGGCGACUCCCAACUCAACCACAACAACACCUUCCUCCUCUUCCUCUUAUUCAUCCUCAUCUUCUACUUCCAGCCGCAGCAGCAGCAUUAACUCGGGAUCUACAGCACAUCAUCACCAGUCCCAGUCUCAGCAUAUAACCACCAUGAGCAGCAUACAGGGAUUUCAGAUUAACCUGUCUGGACCUCCCCAAAGUAAGCCCUUCCCUUCUGCCUCUGCUGAACUCUGUCUGAUCGUGGCUGUACCAGUGUCCGAUGCUCCUGCAUCUCCACUAAUCAGUGCCGCUGGGCUGUGAUAGGCUUGUGCCGGUUAAAGGGUUUGUGUUGGUGGUGUUUAGUGACGUCAGGGUUCUCGUGAUGUGGAGAUGAUGUGGAAGUCCCACUGUUACGAAACUGCACAGUGACUGUAUGAUAGACUUCAUUUGGUUGAUUGGUCGGCUCAGCAGAAAGUUCAUCAGUGAAAUACAUUUUUAAUCCAAGUGCUUGAUUGCAUUGAACUACUUGCACACAGCAUGGCUAUACUCUCUAGUGGCUCAUGGCUAUACUCUCAAGUUUUGCCAGUAGAAUAGGACUCUGAAGCAGAUAAACAUGAACCUGUUGGCCCCAUAACCAAUGCCAGGUUCUAUAGAGGGCUGUGAGCCUCCAGAAUUGAGAUGUAGAUUAGUGAAGCUGUGUUCACCAUCCAGUACUUUUGUGUUGAGUUGGAAGUUCGGGAAGAGGUGGGCUGUAAAUCAUCCAACAUGCAACCAAAUCCUCACAGGAAUGCUCCAUAGUAGUAGAAAGUCAUCUCUGGACAGUAGACGUUUAAUCUUAUAAAAGCUGGAUAAACUAUUGCAAUUGUGAAUGAGCAAGUGUCCCAAAACCUUUGUCCUUAGGUUAUUGGUUGUAAAGCAUCUUUAGGAAUGCUAUUAUUACAAAUUGGCUGUUUUGUUGGAAAAUGCCACAGAGAACACUGUUCCACUUCUCUACAGCCCAGUGCUGGCUGGUGGCUUUAUACCUGUACAACAAAUAUGUAGAUAUGUAAGGGCAGAUUUUCAAACAGGGAUAAAACAUAGUCUUGAACUACACAUCAUUUUGAAUGGAGAUUUCUCGUUAAAAGAAAAAUUUAAUCUAGGACUAGGCUUAUUUCCUGUCAGAGAAACUGCCCCAUGGUGUAACCAAGAAUGCUAAAACAGCAGAAUCUGGUAAACCUUCUGCUUUAUCUUUCAGUCAAUGUAAAUGAUCAUACCUUUAUUUCACAAAAAAUAAUAAGUGAAAGUACGUAAUAAUAAAAUCGCUCUUCAGCACA
rnacentral:lncRNA from 1 species